rnacentral:lncRNA from 1 species
CAGCCACGCAGCCAACCAAGGACAGGUUUCACAGUUGCUGCUAGAGCAGAUAAGGGCCAAUUAGAGGGUAGGCAAAAAGCUCCCACUUCCCUAGCUGCUUGCUCAGCCCGUCUGUGCUAAUCCCAGCACAGUUAAAGCCCCCUCUUUGCUUUCAGAUAUUGCUCUGAGAGAUUAAUCCUCCCCAAAACAAGGCAUUUCCAGCAGGCUGAGAAGACAAAAGAAAACUCUCCGAUUGCAAAAGACUCAGGCACCUGCCUGGGAACGUUUAAUUACCCCAACAAUGACUUCAAAAGCAGAAAAGCCAAAGCCACCAAGACGAAGCCAGCCCUGCAAUCAAAAAGCCACAGAAACGGGCAUUGGCUUAGCACCAGCCCAGCUCAGCUGGCGCUACCCAGACACCUGGGGCCAGUGCCUGCAGGUUAUAACAGUUUGCCAAGUGCAGACUCACAGCCCAUCUCUCCUGGGGACACUUUUCCCCGCAGAGUCUGCAAUGCCAGGCAGGGUGCUGGCUUCUCCUUUGUUUUUUUCCUUGGGCUCAUGUUUUGCCAAUAGAUGCACUUAAAAAAGAAGUGGACAAGUUUAAUCUCCUGCGUCAACAUGUUCCCUUAUCGGGGAGGGUGGUUCCCACCUAGCAGGCCCCAGCUGUCAUUUAUCCUGCUGCAGAAGUGUGUGCAUGCAUUGCAGAGCAAAUCAGAGGCAAAAAUUUCCCGGGUUUUCCUCCCCCUUCCCAGGCUCUUUUGGGAGCACAGGAGUGAACAGAGGGAUUGCUAUAGGGCUGAUCUUGCUGGAGGGGCUGCUCCCUCUCCACAGGUACAGCAGGACCCUGCAAGCAGGCUGGGACUUAGGGGAGACGGCAGGGGAGAUGGCAGGACCCAAGUCCUUGUGCGGAGACCGGACGCUUUCUUCCACCUCGUCUGUGGUGCAGAGAGGCAGGGGGAUAUGAGCCUUGUCACUGGAAGAAGGUGUAAAACUGUGGAACUGCUCAGCACAUGGUCAAACGUAUUCUGA